rnacentral:rRNA from 1 species
AGGGCUGCUAACUCUGUUUUAAGGGGUUCAAUCCCUUUUUUUUUAUAUUUGAUAAUAAUAGUUAUUAAAUUUUUACUAUGUUGGUUUUAUGUUCGUAAGAUUUUAAGCACUUGUUUUUAGUAAGAGUUAAUUUCUGUACCUUUUGUAUAAGGGUCUAUCAAGAUUUAAAUAUAUAGAUUUAUUUUCCCGAAAGUAAGAAAUUUAUUAAAUUGAGUUAAUUUAAUGUUGCAUUAUUACAUUAAACUUUUUAAUAAUUGGCUAGAUACUAUAUUGCUCUUACAGGUAUCUGGUUGGUCUUAAAAUAUAUUUAGUAUAGAGUUUUUAGAAAAUAUUCACAAUACUCUGGAUAAGCAGAGUAUGUAAAUUUAUUGAGCCUAGUGGUAAAAAUUACUGGUUAAAUUGGCUUAAUAUUAGUAAUUAGUUAGUUUGUUAUAAAAAAUCUAGUGUUUAUUUCGUUAAUUAAUUAGGGGCUCAUUAAUUUUAUGGGCUUAAGUUUUUAAAAAUUACAAUGAUGAUAAGAAUUAGUAGAAAAUUAUUUUUAAAAUAUUGUUUGAUAAUAGUUUACAAUAAUUUUAAUGUUUGUUUAUUUAAUUUUUUUAUAAUUAAUUCGGCAAAUUUACUCUUCGAAUGUUUAACAAAAACAUUUCUUCUUGAAUUUAAACUAUAGGAGGUAGGCCCUGCCCAUUGCUCUGUGAAGUAAAUGGCUGCAUAAAUCUGAGUGUACUAAGGUAGCGCUAUAAUUUGCCUUUUAAAUGGGGGCUGGUAUGAACGGGUUCACGUGAGAGUUGCUGUGUCAUAAAAAUUUUUUGAAAUUAACCUUUAGGUGAAGAGGCCUAAGUAAAAUUAAAGGACGACAAGACCCUAGAAGCUUUACUAAGGGUAGGUUAAUAUGUUAAUUUAUUUAAGUUUUGUUGGGGCAACAUAGUUAGAAAGUAUAACUUGUUUUUAUAAACUGACAAGUUAAAACCACAUUGGUGAAUAAGAUAAGCUACUCUAGGGAUAACAGCGUUAUUUUUUUUAAUAGUACGUAUUGUAAAAAAAGUUUGCGACCUCGAUGUUGGACUAAGGUGUCCUUAAGGUGUAGAAGUCUUAAAGGGUUGGCCUGUUCGUCCAUUAAAACCUUACAUGAUCUGAGUUCAGACCGGCGUGAGCUAGGUCAGUUUCUAUCCUUAAUAUAAAAAUGUGAUUAAGUUAGUACGAAAGGAAUUUUUAAUCUAAAAAUUUUUAAGUUAUUUGUUUUUUAUUAUAUUAAAUU